CCAAAGGCACUUUUAAGAGCCACUUAAAACUAUACACUAAAGAGAAU
rfam:Salmo salar isolate Sally breed double haploid chromosome ssa03, whole genome shotgun sequence.